UCCCUGGUGGCCUAGCGGUUAAGGAUUUGGCAUUGUCGCUGCUGUGGCUUGGGUUCGAUACCUGGCCAGGGAA
rnacentral:tRNA from 1 species